rnacentral:rRNA from 1 species
CCGUUGCGGCCGCGUUAAGUAUCCCGCCUCGGGGAGUACGGCCGCAAGGCUAAGACUCAAAGGAAUUGACGGGGCCCGCACAAGCAGCGGAGCAUGUGGCUUAAUUCGAAGCAACGCGAAGAACCUUACCAGCGCUUGACAUGCAGGUGAAGCCGGGGAGACCCGGUGGCCGAGAGGAGCCUGCACAGGUGGUGCAUGGCUGUCGUCAGCUCGUGUCGUGAGAUGUUGGGUUAAGUCCCGCAACGAGCGCAACCCCCGCCGCGUGUUGCCAUCAUUAGGUUGGGCACCCACGCGGGACCGCCGGCGCCAAGCCGGAGGAGGGCGGGGACGACGUCAAGUCAUCAUGCCCCUUAUGCGCUGGGCUGCACACGUGCUACAAUGGCAGGUACAGAGGGUUGCCACCCCGCGAGGGGGAGCGGAUCCCGAAAGCCUGCCCCAGUUCGGACCGGGGGCUGCAACCCGCCCCCGCGAAGUCGGAGUUGCUAGUAAUCGCGGAUCAGCAUGCCGCGGUGAAUGCGUUCCCGGGCCUUGUACACAC